AUUAGCAUGCUCCCAUACCAGUGGCCAUACACAUACACACAAAGACACACAUGCACACACAUCCAAACACUCACACACACGCAGCAGACAUCCAGUUGCAGUUCCGUUCCUACUCUCCACUGUAUCUUCUCUUCAGCAUGCACUGGCAACUGCUCUCUCUCUGGGUGACUGGGACACUGCUGACUUUAGGGCUUUGCUGGGGCAGGAGUGUUGGAAGAGAAGAUUACUAUGAUUCAACAACAGCUGACUAUGACUAUGAAAACGCUACUUUUGAAUACUACUAUUACAACAAUGCAACUAUCAACUAUGAUUUAUAUGAAAUUCUUCAGAAGGGCGAAACAUCAGACAAGAACAAAAUUUCACAGGAGAAGGAAGUGAGGUCAGCAAAAACAAACAAGGCCUCAGGAAUCACACUCCCAGCCCCCAUCAUCCUCCUGGUCCUCUCCAUCCAACAACUCUUUCACCCACUUUAAACGGGACCAUGUACACACUGGACACACACCAAGUUGUAAUGAAGAUGUCAAGAGGGAUUGAACAUAAAAGAAGUUCUAAAUCACAGAGUUUGCCAGCACAUCCUCAGUUAUGAACAUCACUUUGACACAGAUUUCAGGUGUUGGGUCAAGGUCUGCAAUAAGUAACUGUAUUAAUAUUAAAAGCCAUGAAACCAGCAAUUUUAUCAGUAAAUGUUAUCCAACCAAACAUAAUACACUUUGCACAGCGCUCUACACAUUUAGUUUCAGAAGCACUUAUUUUCCUGACUUAUCUACAGACAUGUUACUGGACCUGCUAUACAGAAUGUUACAGUUCACAAGACAUUUUUUCUUGGUUGGUGUGGUGCUUGCUUAAAGACGUGUAUCAGAGACUUACAUCAUCCCCUAUAAGGACUUUGUUUACAUGUUUAUAUUAUCAUAUAGUUUAGACUUUUCAUCAAUAACUAUUUUACCUUAACACUCCAUGUAAUUAAAUUAAAAAUGUUUGUGUUGCUUUUGUUGUUUUUACUAUGUCAGAAAAAAUAAACACAUUUUACUGUC